AUUGAACGCUGGCGGCAUGCCUUACACAUGCAAGUCGAACGGCAGCGGACCUGCGGGUGCCGGCGAGUGGCGAACGGGUGAGUAAUGCAUCGGAACGUACCUUUCAGUGGGGGAUAACGUAGCGAAAGUUACGCUAAUACCGCAUAUUCUGUGAGCAGGAAAGCAGGGGAUCGCAAGACCUUGCGCUGAUUGAGCGGCCGAUGUCAGAUUAGCUAGUUGGUGAGGUAAAGGCUCACCAAGGCGACGAUCUGUAGCGGGUCUGAGAGGAUGAUCUGCCACACUGGGGAGGAGACACGGCCCAGACGCGUACGGGAGGCAGCAGUGGGGAAUUUUGGACAAUGGGGGCAAGCCUGAUCCAGCCAUGCCGCGUGAGUGAAGAAGGCCUGCGGGGUGUAAAGCGCUGUCGGCCGGGAAGAAAUCGCACAGGCUAAUACCUUGUGUGGAUGACGGUACCGGAAUAAGAAGCACCGGCUAACUACGUGCCAGCAGCCGCAGUAAAAC
rnacentral:rRNA from 1 species